rnacentral:lncRNA from 1 species
CAUAUGAGCUGGGCAAUGGGGAGCCACUGGAAGAUUUAUACAGGCAUCACACUUUCCCUGGAUGCUGCGUAGGAAGAAAUUGAAGCCUUCCACAAGUGGAACCAGCUCUCAGCUCCUUUCAGGAAGCAACUAAAUCAGAAAACAGUGUUCUCUCUUCCUUGGAGCUGGCACAGGUUUUGAUAACAUCGAUUGAAUGCCAAGCCACGCAGGAGCAGUAAGAUGUGCUACCCAGAAGCAACAAAAGAUAAACACUUAACUAUCCGCAGUCAACCAGCUUGGAGCUUUCAGGCGAUGAAAAGUUAUUUAAUUAUUAAGGCAAAAAGCACACAGGCGUACGACUGAGGACACCAGAGAAGUUGAUGCUUUCCAAAUUUUGAAUAAAAGAUUGUAACUUUAAAACUGAUUUUAUGGAAUAAAAAUAAUCUCAAUGGAUCUGUAAGAAUGUAUUUAAAAA